rnacentral:rRNA from 1 species
UUACAUUGAAGCCAAGCGAUAUGUAAGUUAGUGGCGGACGGGUGAGUAACGCGUGGGUAACCUGCCUUGUACUGGGGGACAACAGUUGGAGACGACUGCUAAUACCGCAUAAGCGCACAGCUUCGCAUGAAGCAGUGUGAAAAACUCCGGUGGUAUGAGAUGGACCCGCGUCUGAUUAGGUAGUUGGUGGGGUAACGGCCUACCAAGCCAACGAUCAGUAGCCGACCUGAGAGGGUGACCGGCCACAUUGGGACUGAGACACGGCCCAAACUCC